GUCCUACGGGACGCAGCAGUGGGGAAUAUUGCGCAAUGGGCGAAAGCCUGACGCAGCGACGCCGCGUGAGGGAUGAAGGUCUUCGGAUCGUAAACCUCUGUCAGCAGGGAAGAACGGUCACUGUGCUAAUCAGCAGUGAAUUGACGGUACCUGCAAAGGAAGCACCGGCUAACUCCGUGCCAGCAGCCGCGGUAAUACGGAGGGUGCGAGCGUUAAUCGGAAUUACUGGGCGUAAAGCGCUCGUAGGCGGGAUGGCAAGGCAGAUGU
rnacentral:rRNA from 1 species